rnacentral:rRNA from 1 species
GUGGAUUAGAUACCCUGGUAGUCCACGCCGUAAACGGUGGGCACUAGGUGUGGGGGACAUUCCACGUUCUCUGUGCCGUAGCUAACGCAUUAAGUGCCCCGCCUGGGGAGUACGGCCGCAAGGCUAAAACUCAAAGGAAUUGACGGGGGCCCGCACAAGCGGCGGAGCAUGCGGAUUAAUUCGAUGCAACGCGAAGAACCUUACCUGGGUUUGACAUAGGCCGGAAGCAUUCAGAGAUGGGUGUGCCUUUUUGGUCGGUUUACAGGUGGUGCAUGGUCGUCGUCAACU